CACACAGCCAUCUGCUCGUGCGUGUAGGCAUAGACUGGAGAGACGUUUGGGAGAAUAUUCACCAAAAUGUUAAUGGUGAUUAUCUCUGGAAGAGGAGAUUUGGGAAUUCCAUGAAUAUUGUAUGGUGGACCCAAGGAUGAGGGAAUGAGUGUAGGAAGAUCUGGUUCCAGCUCCACUUCUGCCCACAACCUACUGAACCAUCGAUAGAAUGACGAUCGUAAUUUCUCACACUAUCCUACAGGGAUCUCCCCAGGAUUAAUUACACAAUGCACAUAAGGUGCUUUCAGCUGUGUGGAGAAAGACAAUGAAAAUAUUUUUGGGAUCUUGCAAGUUUUUCAGAAUGGCUACUGCACAGGAUGCCUUUCAGCAGAAAAAGAGAUGAAGCUGGGAAGGCGGACAGAUUACAUGGAGCCCUGUGUACAGCAAGAGGAAGGGGCUUCACUGUGUGGGUGCUGGGGAGGCACUAGAGAAUGUCAGGUAGGGUGAUGACAUGAUCAGCUUUGGGAAAAGCGAGCCCACUGUGUGGCUUUAUGGAGGAGAGAUGAAAAGCAGGUGUUGCAGAAGCAAGGGCAGGAGCUGGGGAACAGUAAAGAGGAAAGAAAGCCAGCAAGGCGCGGCAUUUAGGGGGCAAGAGCAGUGUGGGGGCAGAAGGAGAACUGAAGAGGGUGAGUUACCAAAGUCAAGGGAGAUAAGGGCUUCGGAAAAGUGAAAUAAGUUCAAUGAGAUAAAAACUAAACAAUAUACCUCAGAUCUAGAGGUUUGUCACUGGUGAUCUUGGCAAGAGCAAUUCCAGUAGAGUGGACAGAAGCCACACUUCCAUGGACCAAAGCUUGAAUGGGAGGUAAGGACCUGGAAGCAAUGAACAUACUAAUAAUUUUAAAGCAGAUGGACUAGAAAGGAAAAGAAGAGAGACAGGCUAACUAGAGGGGGCUGCAGAAUUGAAGGAAAGGUGGUGGUGGUUUUGUUGUUGUUUUAAAAGAGUGCAGACUUUUGAGUAGGUGUGAAGUUGAGGGCAUGAAACCAGGGGAAAGGGAGGGACAAGCUUGAGACCACUGAGGGGGAAGAAGCAAUGGUUUCAAACAUGCAGGAAGGUCCCUUCUUCCUUCCAGACCAGGGGGAAGUUGGAGAGGAUGAAUGCAGAUGUAGAUAAAUUCGAUGGUGAGACUGUGAUGACAAGGAAUUAACAUCUUAUGACUUCUUGUUCUCCGUGGAGUAGGAGCAAGGUUAUCUGUGGACCCUGAAAGGAAGUAGAGCCCCAGAUAACUGAUGAGCCUGCAACAAUGGGUGGAUUCAGCAUACAUACACUGAGGUCUUAGAAGGUGUCAACAGGCAAGUACAGUGAAAGCAAAGAGAGAGGGAGUUAGCCGCAUAAGGGAUAUGGCCAGGGAGUGGCUGAUCAGAGUUCAAGGUCUCAGUGGUGGAAUAGCUCAGAGUCAUAAACAGAUCCUGGUGUGGCUGCAAGAGUCACAUGCUCAACUGGGGCAUAGGUGAAGGUGGAUGGAGCUGAGUAGAUUAAGAAACUUUCAGGCGAGAGUGAGAGAUGGGUACUCCCCAAAGAUGUUUCCUUGCUCAGGAUAUCAGGAAAGUUAGAGAAAGCGAAAAUUGUGGAUCAGGUUCCAAAUUGUUGUUUAGGAAAAUACACUCAAUAAAGUUCAGUAUCUCUUUGAGAAUGCUCUUUGGCCAACUGGUUUUGUGUGCCAUAAUCUCCUACUGUAAUACUUGUUUCCUUUUCUUUUCUUGUAAUAGGAUUGGGAAUGAUCCCUCUUCUUUGAUAAGUGGGAUAUGGCUUGCUGUCUUCUCUUUCCCAGCCUCCCUCUGAUUUCCCCAUCAUUUGCAGCCAUACGA